rnacentral:rRNA from 1 species
ACGUCCUACGGGAGAAAGCAGGGGAUCUUCGGACCUUGCGCUAAUAGAUGAGCCUAAGUCGGAUUAGCUAGUUGGUGGGGUAAAGGCCUACCAAGGCGACGAUCUGUAGCGGGUCUGAGAGGAUGAUCCGCCACACUGGGACUGAGACACGGCCCAGACUCCUACGGGAGGCAGCAGUGGGGAAUAUUGGACAAUGGGCGCAAGCCUGAUCCAGCCAUGCCGCGUGUGUGAAGAAGGCCUUAUGGUUGUAAAGCACUUUAAGCGAGGAGGAGGCUACUUUAGUUAAUACCUAGAGAUAGUGGACGUUACUCGCAGAAUAAGCACCGGCUAACUCUGUGCCAGCAGCCGCGGUAAUACAGAGGGUGCAAGCGUUAAUCGGAUUUACUGGGCGUAAAGCGCGCGUAGGCGGCUAAUUAAGUCAAAUGUGAAAUCCCCGAGCUUAACUUGGGAAUUGCAUUCGAUACUGGUUAGCUAGAGUGUGGGAGAGGAUGGUAGAAUUCCAGGUGUAGCGGUGAAAUGCGUAGAGAUCUGGAGGAAUACCGAUGGCGAAGGCAGCCAUCUGGCCUAACACUGACGCUGAGGUGCGAAAGCAUGGGGAGCAAACAGGAUUAGAUACCCUGGUAGUCCAUGCCGUAAACGAUGUCUACUAGCCGUUGGGGCCUUUGAGGCUUUAGUGGCGCAGCUAACGCGAUAAGUAGACCGCCUGGGGAGUACGGUCGCAAGACUAAAACUCAAAUGAAUUGACGGGGGCCCGCACAAGCGGUGGAGCAUGUGGUUUAAUUCGAUGCAACGCGAAGAACCUUACCUGGCCUUGACAUAGUAAGAACUUUCCAGAGAUGGAUUGGUGCCUUCGGGAACUUACAUACAGGUGCUGCAUGGCUGUCGUCAGCUCGUGUCGUGAGAUGUUGGGUUAAGUCCCGCAACGAGCGCAACCCUUUUCCUUAUUUGCCAGCGAGUAAUGUCGGGAACUUUAAGGAUACUGCCAGUGACAAACUGGAGGAAGGCGGGGACGACGUCAAGUCAUCAUGGCCCUUACGGCCAGGGCUACACACGUGCUACAAUGGUCGGUACAAAGGGUUGCUACCUAGCGAUAGGAUGCUAAUCUCAAAAAGCCGAUCGUAGUCCGGAUUGGAGUCUGCAACU